GGGGGGCGACACCCACUUCGGCGGCGCCGAGCCCUGGACCGCCCGCAACGAUGACCUCAGCGGGAACGACCUCUUCCUGGUGGCGGUGCACGAGCUGGGCCACGCGCUGGGGCUGGAGCACUCCAGCGACCCCUCGGCCAUCAUGGCCCCCUUCUACCAGUGGAUGGACACCGAGGCCUUCGUCCUCCCCGACGAUGACCGCCGCGGCAUCCAGCAGCUCUACGGCAGCAAGACGGGGACAGGGCCCAGCCGGGCACCUCCGGGACCCCGCACCACGGCCCGGCCCCACGGCCCUGACCGGCCGCCCGGACCCCCCUACGGCC